rnacentral:tRNA from 1 species
GGGGUUGUAGCUCAGUGGUAGAGCACUUGCCUCGCAUGCAUGAGGCCCUGGGUUUGGUCCCCAGCACCACA